CCUACGGGUGGCAGCAGUGGGGAAUAUUGCACAAUGGGGGAAACCCUGAUGCAGCAACGCCGCGUGAAUGAAGACGGUUUUCGGAUCGUAACGUUCUGUUCGUAGUGAAGAAUGAUGGCGGUAGUUACUGACCAUGCUUCGCCUAACUUUGCUCCGGCAGUCGCGGUUAUCUGUAGGUGGCAAGCGUCGGUCGGACUUACUGGGCGUAAAGGGUGCGCAGGCGGUAAGCCAAGUCAGCUGUGAAACCUACGGGCUUAACUUGUAGACUGCAGUUGAAACUGGUUUGCUUGAGUGAAGUAGAGGUGAGCGGAAUUCCGAGUGUAGCGGUGGAAUGCGUAGAUAUUCGGAGGAACACCGGUGGCGAAGGCGGCCAACUGGGCUGUAACUGACGCUGAGGCUCGAAAGUAUGGGGAGCGAACAGGAUUAGAUACCCGAGUAGUC
rnacentral:rRNA from 1 species